AUUGAACGCUGGCGGCAGGCCUAACACAUGCAAGUCGAACGAGUGGCGGACGGGUGAGUAAUGUCUGGGAAACUGCCUGAUGGAGGGGGAUAACUACUGGAAACGGUAGCUAAUACCGCAUAACAUCAGAUGUGCCCAGAUGGGAUUAGCUAGUUGGUGGGGGAACGGCUAACCAAGGCGACGAUCACUAGCUGGUCUGCGAGGAUGACCAGCCACACUGGAACUGUGACACGGUCCAAACUCCUCCGGAAGGUAGCAGUGGGGAAUAUUGCACAAUGGGCGCAAUCCUGAUGCAGCCAUGCCGCGUGUAUGAAGAAGGCUUUCGGGUUGUAAAGUACUUUCAGCGGGGAGGCGUUACCCGCAUAAGAAGCACCGGCUAACUCCGUGCCAGCAGCCGCGGUAAUUC
rnacentral:rRNA from 1 species